rnacentral:rRNA from 1 species
AACAAACGCUGGCGGCGUGCCUAAUACAUGCAAGUCGAACGGGGAAAGCUUUCGGGUGAGUACUAGUGGCGCACGGGUGAGUAACGCGUGGAUAAUCUGCCUUGAAGAGGGGGAUAACCAGUCGAAAGAUUGGCUAAUACCGCAUAAGACCACAGGAACUGAGGUUCUAGAGGUCAAAGGUUUUUCGCUUCAAGAUGAGUCCGCGUAAGAUUAGCUAGUUGGUGAGGUAAUGGCUCACCAAGGCGACGAUCUUUAACUGGUCUGAGAGGAUGAUCAGUCACACUGGAACUGAGACACGGUCCAGACUCCUACGGGAGGCAGCAGUAGGGAAUAUUGCACAAUGGAGGAAACUCUGAUGCAGCGACGCCGCGUGAGUGAUGAAGGCCUUCCGGUCGUAAAGCUCUGUCGCAGGGGAAUAACACAAUGAAGGUACCCUGUAAGAAAGGAUCGGCUAACUUCGUGCCAGCCGCCGCAGUAAUAC